UCCUGGCGGCGCCUCGCGCGGAGGAAGACCUGGCGGUGCAAGGCUGCAGCUCUGCCGGCUAUUGCUCUGAAUACAAAAGAGCCUUUCUCACGCCCCUGCGCCCUUCCCGGCCCGGGACCCCCGGACGGAAGGGGCUGGCUCGUUGGACGCUGGAGACGACAGCUGUCGGGGCCACACCACCAUUUCUGUGGUUCUUGCAGAGAAGUGUGGUUCCAAGUAUUUAUUUUAAAGGAAAUUUUAAUAAUGAUUAUAACGAUGACUUUUGUCCCCUCUUCCAAUUUAAGAGAAAAAACAAACAGGGAUGAAGGCGUUUGAAGCCCCGGCAAGUCCCCAAGAAAGCUAACCUGCCCGGGUCCGGGUCUUCCCGGGCCCUCUCAUACCUCAAAGGCGUUAAUUAAGCAAGCUCUGGGCCUCCAGCUUUGUGGCUUCGUUUUCCGACUCAGCUAAAUGAUGAGAAUGGUCUUCCCAGACUGUAAACGGAGUAUUGAUCAGCUUCUGAGUCUUCAGAUGAGCUAGUCUUGCUUGUAGAAUUACAUGGUUCCCGAAGCUGGAAAAAAGAAAUGGCCUGGUUGUCAGCACUCGCCCAAACGCUAAGGAAGCCCAGAUCAAUAAGCAGGAGAGGAAAAAAGGCAAGAACUCUUGGAAUCAAUAACCGAACCAUUCACUGCUUCUCUACUGCCCCUUAAUCAUCCUUUAGCGUCUCUUCAGCUUUUUACCACACUGUGAGGAUGGAGUGGACCCGUUCAAGCCCCUUACAUGCAGAACUGGAAGCCAGAAGUCAAGCUUUCUCUGCUCGUGACUGAUGAGAAGACACCAUCCUACAGGCCACCGUGUAUAAGAACAGAAAGUAAUGGAGCUGAGUAACGUACAGCAGUUACCUUACAAAUGCUGCU